CAGAGAACAACACACAACAGUUUCAGGAAAUGCGAUUGCUUCUUCCAGUGAUGUAAGAGUUUCGGAACCUUUGAUUUACAGAGAUGGGACUGGUGAAAAAAUUGCGUAAAAAGACAAUUCAGUUAUACUGUCAGAGAAGAAGUAUAUAACAGACAGUUUUUUCUACACUUAGCUUUGUUCGAUUUGAUCUCUUAAACAGCUGCUUGCUUGAUUUUUCAUUCAACUGAAGCAGUAGAAAUUAUCAAUAGAAUUGAUAGAUAAGUUCUAAUUUGAGAUUAGCCUGUUGGAUAAGCUUCAAGAGAAAGCUUAGGAAACAAGUUAUUCAUAAAAAGGAAAGAUGAAUAACAAAACCUAUUAGAUUUAGGAUUAAAGAUAAAGAUAAGAUAAGAUUCCUAGAUCAUGUUGUAAUAGGACAAGUUAAGGGUUUUCUAUUACCUAUAUAUAGAGAUCAAAUUGUAAGAUGAUCUCAUAAGAAAAGAAGAAGAAAGUUAAGAAAGAUUAAUAAGACAAAGCAAGAGUUUUAUUAAGUUUGUGUUCAUACGAUCAUACCAAGUUCAGAUUCUAAGACUUUAUUUGGUAUCAGAGCCUGAGUUAAUCAAAUCAUGAGUGAUUCAGAAUCAAAACCAGCUAUGAAGAUAAACGCGCUACCUCCCUCUGUCAAAACACCGAUGCUCACAGCAACGAACUAUGCUGUCUGGUCUUUAAGAAUGAAGGUUCUAUUUAGGUUUCAUGAGGUAUGGGAAACCAUUGAUCCAGGAUCAAAGGACCAAAAGAAGAAUGACCUAGCUACGAUUCUCUUGUUUCAAGGAAUUCCAGAGAAUUUAAUUCUACAAGUUGGUGAGCAAGACUCUCCUAAAGGUAUGUGGGAAGCAUUGAAAGCAAUGAAUAUUGGAGCUGAUCGAGUAAUAGAAGCACGCCUGCACACACUGAUGAUUGAGUUCGAUCAUCUGAGAAUGAAAGAUACUGAUUCAAUAGAUACGUUCUCAGGAAAAUUAUCAGAGUUUGCAGGAACAGCUGCAUCACUCGGCCAUACGAUAGAAGAAGCAAAACUAGUAAAGAAGUUUCUAUCGUGUCUGCCAAGCAAAUUUCUUCAACUCUCAGCAACACUAGAACAAGUUCUUGACCUAAACAACACAAGGUACGAAGAUGUAGUAGGUCGCCUCAAAGCAUUUGAGGAGCGCUUGCGUGGAGAAGAAAGAAUGCGAGGAGAGAAACUUGAAGAUAAUGGCAAGCUCCUUUACUCCGAUCAUGGAACCAGAGGCAGAGGACGAGGUUCCAACAGGGGUCGUGGGAACAGAGGAAGGGGGCGUGGAAGUAACAACAGCGGUGAUAAAAGCAAGGAGAAGAGAGAUUACUCUUAGAUUGAAUGCUUCAAUUGUCACAAAAAGGGACACUUUGCCUCCGUAUGUCCAGAAAAGAAAGAGGACCAAGAACUCAACAAUACAGAGACUGAGACGUCAGAUAAAGCUCUGUACAUGCAUGAGGUUGUAUUCUUAAACGAAGGGAAGGUAAUACCGAAGAAGCUUGAAGCAAACAAUAAAGAAAAAGGGAUGUGGUAUCUAGACAAUGGAGCUAGUAAUCACAUGACAGGAGAGAGAUCUUUCUUUACUGAACUUAACGAAAAUGUAAAAGGGAAAGUCAAGUUUGGAGACGGAUCGUAUGUUGAUAUCAACGGGAGAGGCUCUAUUCUCUUUGAAGCAAAGACGGGAGAACAACAGCUAUUAAAGGAUAUCUACUACAUACCUGAGCUCAAAAGUAAUAUAUUGAGCUUAGGACAAGCCACGGAGCAAGGAUGCGACGUGAGGAUGAGGGACAACUAUCUCACUCUACGGGAUCCAAGUGGACGUCUGCUGGUCAAAGUCUUAAGAUCACCUAACAGACUCUACAAAAUCUCGUUGCAGGUUGGGAAACCAACAUGCUUACUCACACGGUUAAGGGAAGAACCAUGGAGAUGGCACGCAAGACUUGGUCACAUAAGUUUCAAGACGAUCAAGACAAUGGCAACAAAGGAGAUGGUUUACGGUUUACCUGAGAUCACAGAAGAAAAGAAGAUAUGUGACUCUUGUCUAGUCGGCAAGCAAACCCGAUAUCCCUUCCCCUCAUCCACGACAUAUAGAUCAUCUAAUGCAUUGGAACUUUUGCAUGCUGAUCUAUGUGGUCCGAUAAGUCCGGCAACAUUAUCUUAAAACAGGUACAUAUUCGUCAUUAUUGAUGAUUGUACGAGAUACAUGUGGUCUAUCUUACUCAAAGACAAAAGUGAAGCGUUUGAGAGAUUCAAGAUAUUCAAGGCUCUUGUAGAAAAGGAAGUUAACAAGAAGAUAGUAACUCUCCAUACGGAUAGAGGCGGGGAGUUUACAUCAAACGAAUUUCGAGAUUUCUGCAAUGUCAAUGGUAUUAAGAGACACUUGACAGCUCCGUAUACUCCUCAACAGAACGGAGUUGUCGAAAGAAGAAACCGAACUCUAAUGGAGAUGACGCGAAGUAUGUUAAAAGCCAUGAAAUUACCUAACUACAUGUGGGGAGAAGCUGUAAGGCACGCAACAUAUUUAAUAAACCGUGUUCCUACUCGUGCAUUGAAGGACCAAACUCCAUACGAAAGUUUAAGAGGAAGAAAACCAAGUAUUGGACACAUACGUGUGUUUGGUUGUAUUGGACAUACUAAGGUGGAUUCUGUUCAUACGAAGAAACUAGAUGACAGGUCGGUGACUUUGGUUCACUUGGGCAUUGAACCUGGUUCAAAAGCCUAUUGUCUAUACAACCCAAGUACAAGAAGGGCAGUUGUAAGUCGAGAUGUCAUAUUCAAUGAAGAAGCAUGCUGGAACUGGAGUAAAGAGCAUGAGCAAGAAGAGACAGAAUCCGGAAACUUUAGUAUGACUUGGGGUUCAAGUCAUGAUGUUGGUAAUGGUUCUUAUUCCGUUGAAACUCAGCAAGAUGUUACCGAAGAUGAAGCACAACAUCAAGAUGAUAAUGCGGAAACAGAGGAAACAGAACCAAGUAUUGAGACGGGUCCAAGAAGAUCAUCUCGACAAGUGAAUACACCUAAGUACUUGGAAGAUUAUGUAUUACUUGCCGAGAUUGAAGGUGCUAAGCUACUACUAUCUAUCGAUGAUGAGCCCUCGACAUAUCAAGAAGCAAAGAGAUAUGCUCGUUGGAUAAAAGCAUGUAAGGAGGAGAUAGAGUCAAUCAACAAAAACAAUACAUGGACUCUGGUCAGUAAGCCGCAUGGAGUAAAGAUCAUUGGUCUAAAAUGGAUCUUUAAGGUAAAGAAGAAUGCAGAUGGUACUAUCAUCAAAUUUAAAGCAAGACUUGUCGCAAAAGGAUAUGUGCAAGAACUAGGCAUAGACUUUGAAGAAGUCUUCGCACCAGUGGCAAGGAUCGAGACUAUAAGACUACUUAUUAGUCUAGCUUCUGCUCAGGGUUGGGAAAUUCACCAUCUUGAUGUGAAAACAACAUUCUUACAUUGUGAACUAAAUGAAGAAGUCUAUGUGUCUCAACCGAAAGGGUUUGAAAAGAAGGGAGAAGAACACAAAGUUUUCAAACUAUCCAAAGCUCUAUAUGGGUUGAGACAAGCGCCUCGUGCUUGGAACACAAAGCUGGAUCAAAUCCUAAAAGGCCUCGGUCUUUCAAGAUGCUCAAAGGAGUGCUCUGUUUACCGUAAGCAAGAAGGUAAACUAGUACUCAUUGUUGCGACGUAUGUUGAUGAUUUGUUCGUAACAGGGAACUCUACGUCUGCUGUUAAAGAGUUCAAAGAAGCAAUGGCUAAGGAGUUUGAGAUGUCUGAUCUCGGAUUACUUACAUACUAUCUCGGCAUCGAAGUUAAGCAAGGAUCGAAUGGUAUAACCAUAAGCCAAGAAGCAUAUGCAAAACGUGUCUUAGAAGAAGCAGGCAUGGACAGUUGUAAUCUAACUCAUAUUCCGAUGGAGUUUGGGUUACAAAUGUCGAAGUCCUUGGAAGAAGCAGAAAUCGACUCCACUCAAUAUCGGAGAAGAAUAAGAUGCUUAAGGUACCUGAUGCAUACAAGACCAGACAUGGCAUUCUCAGUUGGAAUUCUAAGCAGGUAUAUGCAAUCACCUCGAGAAUCACAUGGGAACGCAUUGAAGCAGGUCUUAAGGUAUCUAAAGGGAACUCUAAACUAUGGAUUGGAGUAUAAGCGUGAAAGAAAGCAGAAACUAAGUGGAUACAGUGAUAGUAGUCAUAACACAGACCCGGAUGAUGGAAAGAGCACAACAGGGUACAUAUUUUGUAUUGGAGAAACGCCUAUCAGCUGGUGCUCUCAGAAACAGGAAGUAGUAGCUUUGUCAUCAUGUGAGGCAGAAUACAUGGCAGCUACAGAAGCUACGAAACAAGCAAUUUGGCUGCAAGAACUUAUGAGUGAGAUAACCGGAAGUGAAGAAAAGAAGACAGUGAUAAGGGUUGAUAACAAAUCGGCCAUUGCAUUGGCUAAGAACCCUGUGUUUCACCGAAGAAGUAAUCACAUUCAUAAGCGGUUUCAUUUCAUUAGGGAGUGCGUGGAACGAGGACUGAUAGACGUGGAGCAUGUGGCCGGGACGAAGCAGAAAGCAGAUAUCCUAACUAAAGCUUUAGCCAAGAUCAAGUUCAAGGAGAUGAGAGACUUAAUUCAAGUUCAAGAAAAUGGCUUGAAGCUUAGAAGGGAGAAUGUUGGAUAAGCUUCAAGAGAAAGCUUAGGAAACAAGUUAUUCAUAAAAAGGAAAGAUGAAUAACAAAACCUAUUAGAUUUAGGAUUAAAGAUAAAGAUAAGAUAAGAUUCCUAGAUCAUGUUGUAAUAGGACAAGUUAAGGGUUUUCUAUUACCUAUAUAUAGAGAUCAAAUUGUAAGAUGAUCUCAUAAGAAAAGAAGAAGAAAGUUAAGAAAGAUUAAUAAGACAAAGCAAGAGUUUUAUUAAGUUUGUGUUCAUACGAUCAUACCAAGUUCAGAUUCUAAGACUUUAUAGCCAAACAGAAUCAAGAUCAUGGCUAUUCUUAUCAAGAAAUAACGACUCAAUAUUAGUGGCUGAUGUUGCAAAUAGCAAGAAUAUAAUUGUUGAAAAACAGAAGAAAGUGGAUUAUUUGAAGGGAUAUAAUUGUAUCCAAUUGUUUUUGCCUAAACAUUUCCAUUAAUUUUAAAGAGUUAACUAGAGAUUGAUCCACGCACCUGCGCGGGUAUCGAUUCUUACAUUCUUAUUUACUGAUAUUUUUUUUUCAUAAUUAGUGUUAUACUCGUUCCGUUCUGAAAUGUAAGAUGUUUAGAAGAAAUUUUAUGUUUCAAUAUGUAAGAUGUUUUAAUAUUUUUAGGUAGCUUUAACUUUAUCAAAAUCUGUG
rnacentral:lncRNA from 1 species